UGUCCUGGUCCUUAGGUUUAUUGGAUUUUAUCUUCUUGCCUUAGCAUUGGGCCACUUAGGGCUGCUACCACCAAUUUAAUACAUACCCAUGUACCCUCAUCCUAAUAUAUUUGACUUCUUUUGUUAAUUACAGUAGUUUUCCAUCCCUGAAAAUGUUAAUUAACAUAAAAUAACAGUACAUAUUUCUCUUAUUUAAUGGUCAUGGACUGUUUUCAGUCAAAUAGCCCCACUUCUCACUUUCCACUAAUAAUAUCUUAAACAUAUUUGACUAACUAAUGAAG
rnacentral:misc_RNA from 1 species